UAAUACUGUCUGGUAAAACCG
rnacentral:miRNA from 2 species